CCUACGGGGGGCUGCAGUGGGGAAUAUUGGACAAUGGGGGCAACCCUGAUGCAGCCAUGCCGCGUGUGUGAAGAAGGCCCUCGGGUUGUAAAGCACUUUCAGUGAGGAAGAACGCCUGGAGGUUAAUACCCAUCAGGAAAGACAUCACCCACAGAAGAAGCACCGGCUAACUCCGUGCCAGCAGCCGCGGUAAUACGGAGGGUGCGAGCGUUAAUCGGAAUUACUGGGCGUAAAGCGCGCGUAGGUGGCUUGAUAAGCCGGUUGUGAAAGCCCCGGGCUCAACCUGGGAACGGCAUCCGGAACUGGCAAGCUAGAGUGCAGGAGAGGAAGGUAGAAUUCCCGGUGUAGCGGUGAAAUGCGUAGAGAUCGGGAGGAAUACCAGUGGCGAAGGCGGCCUUCUGGACUGACACUGACACUGAGGUGCGAAAGCGUGGGUAGCAAACAGGAUUAGAUACCCGAGUAGUC
rnacentral:rRNA from 1 species